rnacentral:rRNA from 1 species
AGGGAAUCUUCCGCAAUGGACGAAAGUCUGACGGAGCAACGCCGCGUGAGUGAGGAAGGUCUUCGGAUCGUAAAGCUCUGUUGCCAGGGAAGAACGCUCGGGAGAGUAACUGCUCCCGAGGUGACGGUACCUGAGAAGAAAGCCCCGGCUAACUACGUGCCAGCAGCCGCGGUAAUACGUAGGGGGCGAGCGUUGUCCGGAAUUAUUGGGCGUAAAGCGCGCGCAGGCGGUUUUGUAAGUCCGAUUGUUUAAACCCGGGGCUCAACCCCGGGUCGCAAGGGAAACUGCAAGACUUGAGUGCAGCAGAGGGAAGCGGAAUUCCACGUGUAGCGGUGAAAUGCGUAGAGAUGUGGAGGAACACCAGUGGCGAAGGCGGCUUUCUGGGCUGUAACUGACGCUGAGGCGCGAAAGCGUGGGGAGCAAAC